UUACUACCACUCUCUCUGAUUUUACACGCCAUUUUCGAUAACUGGCAAUUUGGAGGCAAACAUUUGGUUACGCUCGAAAAGUUGAGCUCCGAUCGUCGAAGUCCUGCUCCGCCACUUUGCGGUCUGCACCAAACUUCCUCAGCCUGAUCCUUACUUCCAAAUGACACGAGGUGUUGCUCCUCGAUUAGGUUAUCAGAAGCCUGCUCUGAUUGAAUCUUCAUUCCUUGCUGCUCUUCAGACUAUUGUGUUUAGGGAGGAAUUGGUUGAGAUAAUUUCACCUUCAAUAUGGUGCUCUUAAUCUUGUUGGAGAAAUUUCACCUGCGAUAGGACAGUUAAAGAGCCUGGUUUCAAUGUGGAUUACCUUAUUUUGUUUGGGAGCUAUACUUCUGUGAAUGAGUUCGUAACAACCAAAAGGCAAGAUCCUGAAAUAUUGGAAGCACUGAAGAAAACAAAUACUAUCGCACCAUAAUUGGACCUUCAAUUUUAUGCUUCCUCCUAAUUUAUAACUAGGACCUCCUUUAAUUUUUUUUCGAAGUUUAUUAUAUUCCUUACUAACCAGUUUGAGGAUAGAAGAAUGUGUGGCAAAUGUGUUAGUAAUGCAUCAUAUUUGUCAUAAACAUAAUGAAGGCCGUUAAAUAGAUCUUGAGAAAUCUUGUUCAGGAGCUUGAGUUCAUUUUUAAGCUUGGGCUUGACUAGCUUAUAGUAGAUGAUUAUAGAUUGAGCUUGAUAUUUUGGCUCUGUAGUAGGCAGGGAUGAGUAUAAAUGCUUAAUGACAUGCUAAGAAUUCGUGAGUUGAAAAAUGCUUAGUCAAACUCUUUUAGCCAUAUCAUAUAUACUACAGUAUAUGAUAAUUUUCAAGAAAAUUUUACUAUCAUGGAUAGGAAGAGACCUUGUGCAAAUUUCUUGCUAAAUAUUGUGUUGUAGAGCUUUGGCAUAAACACUUUUUACCCAUAGAUUAUACUGAAAUGUUGAAACAUUCAUCUGAAAAUUCUGAUUUUUGCCAUAAAAAUGUUGAACUGAACUUCAUGACAGUCCACUGGAGAUCUUUAUGGUUCUGAGGAAUACUAUUUUCGAGCUUCGGAGGCCGAUUCUAAAUUUCUAUGGGAAACCGGGGGCGAAGAAGCUGCCAUAGAUGAAGCUCAGAGGAACAGCAACUGACUGGUGGUGUACAUAUAUCAUGUGAGCAAGAUUCUUUGAGGUUGUUGAAUACUUGAUUAUUAACAAUUUAAGAAAUGCAUUUAGUAGUGUCCUGGUGUCCAGAUUGUUUGGUAUCCGUUUAAGCAUGAUUAUUAUAGAAAAAUAAGUAGAAAAAAUAGGACACUAGCUUAAUAACUCUGCUAUCUUCUGUUAGCUUACAUAGUAGAUUGCUAACGCAAUUUUGUAAUUUUUAUUGGCUCUCUUAUUUUUAUAGGAUUUUGAAUAAUACAGUGUCAGACUGUCUUUACUCAUAUGUCUUUCUCUUUUUGUAUGAAAUUUUUCUAAAGGAUGCAUAACUUGUGUGAAGAUUGUCUUUACUCAUAUAUCUUUCUCUUAUUGUAUGAAAUUUUUCUAAAGGAUGCAUAACUUACUUUGUAUGUGUGAAGAUUGUCUUUACUCAUAUAGUUGUCUUAUUUUUCUUCAGGAGCUGGCUGCGAAAGAAAUGGCCGAGGUGUCCUCAUGUGAAGCAUUUUGUUGUUGGAAGACAUGGUUAUGGUAGAACCAAGUUCAUUGGAGGUUGAAGAAUAUUUGCAUCUUUGGAACUUGAUUUUGGAACUUGUAAUUAGAUUUUGAAAAAUUGUUAGAUUUAUAGUUGAAACUUGGUGUAAUAGAUGAUUGUGAUAAAAUUGUUAGAUUUAUAGUUGAAACUUGGUGUAAUAGAUGAUUGUGAUGAAUGUUGAUGAUAACUGAUUAUGUAAUUCGAUAUUUAUUGUUUAUUAA